CGCGUAGGCGGCCAGUUAAGUCAGAUGUGAAAGCCCGGGGCUCAACCCCGGAAGUGCAUUUGAAACUAAUUGGCUUGAGUAUGGGAGAGGGAAGUGGAAUUCCUGGUGUAGCGGUGAAAUGCGUAGAUAUCAGGAGGAACACCGGUGGCGAAGGCGACUUCCUGGACCAAUACUGACGCUGAGGCGCGAAGGCGUGGGGAGCAAACAGGAUUAGAUACCCUGGUAGUC
rnacentral:rRNA from 1 species